UUAUCCAAGACUGAUCACUUUCAUUCUGUAGCUGUCAUUCAUCUGGAUUUUAAUCAACAACGUGCCUUCGGUUACACAUUCUAUAUUUCCUGUUGCAAUCUUUGAGGGUGGAACUCUAAGUGGCUUUGGUGUGGCACUUCCGUUGGUGCAGAGAAAACAAACAAGUGCUCGUUGUAAAAGGCCUAGUGAAAUAACCGCCUGGCCCAAACGCUGGAUGCAAUGAUUCUGGAGCUCAAACCAAUUUGAACAUCUAAUCUCAGCGAAAAAAAAAAACAGACUUUAGAUUACGAGAUUUAAAAUCAGGAUCCAGAGAGAUUCAUGACAAAGAAAACAACAACUGUUAGUAAAAUUCAACAUUGCGUGUUUCUGUUUUUCAUUACUGAUGGCUAUCCUCCACCAUCUUGAGUCAUUAACUGCCAAGCGUGACCUUUGCCAAGAAUAGCAGAUCGGUUGUUUGGUGCUACACAACAUCUAUUACAAAAAUGCUACUUAUCUGCUCACGGGACACAGGCAGACAAAGAAAUGGAGUUGAGUUGAGGCAGACAUCAGUCAUGAUCUUACUGAGUGGCAGAGCUGACUCAAUAGGCUGUGUGGUCUAUUCCUGCCCCGAUUUUCUACGUUCCAAGAGUCAACAUCAAGCUGACACCAACCACAAGAUACAGAAGACUGAAUAAAUCGCCUGCUAUUAUCAAUUCCAACGAAAACCACAAAUACAUACGAGCACUUGGAACAAAUGCUUGCACCAAAUCACUUCAACGUCACUUUCUGGUGGAUACAUAAUCAUACAAGAAAUUACACACUUUAGUUUUGUAACUACGAAGGGUUUUAUUGGUCUGAGCAUGCUUUCAGUAAAUCAAGAUGCAAGUUUAGAAUCCUCCAGCUUUGUUUGGCUUCAUGCACAAUAAAACACUGCCAUAAAAGCA